AACUAUGGCCAUACUACUCUGAACGCGCGGGAUCUCGUCUGAUAUUGGAAGCUAAGCAGGGUCGGGCCUGGUUAGUACUUGGGUGGGAGACCGUCUGGGAAUACCUGGUGCUGUAGGCA
rnacentral:rRNA from 1 species